GCUGGAGGUAUCAGAAGUGCGAAUGCUGACAUAAGUAACGAUAAAGCGGGUGAAAAGCCCGCUCGCCGGAAGACCAAGGGUUCCUGUCCAACGUUAAUCGGGGCAGGGUGAGUCGACCCCUAAGGCGAGGCCGAAAGGCGUAGUCGAUGGGAAACGGGUUAAUAUUCCCGUACUUGGUGUUACUGCGAAGGGGGGACGGAGAAGGCUAUGUUGGCCGGGCGACGGUUGUCCCGGUUUAAGCGUGUAGGUGUGUGUUCCAGGUAAAUCCGGUUCACUUUAACACUGAGGCGUGACGACGAGGCACUACGGUGCUGAAGCAACAAAUGCCCUGCUUCCAGGAAAAGCCUCUAAGCAUCAGGUAACAUCAAAUCGUACCCCAAACCGACACAGGUGGUCAGGUAGAGAAUACCAAGGCGCUUGAGAGAACUCGGGUGAAGGAACUAGGCAAAAUGGUGCCGUAACUUCGGGAGAAGGCACGCUGACAUGUAGGUGAAGUGAUUUACUCAUGGAGCUGAAGUCAGUCGAAGAUACCAGCUGGCUGCAACUGUUUAUUAAAAACACAGCACUGUGCAAACACGAAAGUGGACGUAUACGGUGUGACGCCUGCCCGGUGCCGGAAGGUUAAUUGAUGGGGUCAGCGCAAGCGAAGCUCCUGAUCGAAGCCCCGGUAAACGGCGGCCGUAACUAUAACGGUCCUAAGGUAGCGAAAUUCCUUGUCGGGUAAGUUCCGACCUGCACGAAUGGCGUAAUGAUGGCCAGGCUGUCUCCACCCGAGACUCAGUGAAAUUGAACUCGCUGUGAAGAUGCAGUGUACCCGCGGCAAGACGGAAAGACCCCGUGAACCUUUACUAUAGCUUGACACUGAACAUUGAGCCUUGAUGUGUAGGAUAGGUGGGAGGCUUUGAAGUGUGGACGCCAGUCUGCAUGGAGCCGACCUUGAAAUACCACCCUUUAAUGUUUGAUGUUCUAACGUGGACCCGUUAUCCGGGUUGCGGACAGUGUCUGGUGGGUAGUUUGACUGGGGCGGUCUCCUCCUAAAGAGUAACGGAGGAGCACGAAGGUUGGCUAAUCCUGGUCGGACAUCAGGAGGUUAGUGCAAUGGCAUAAGCCAGCUUGACUGCGAGCGUGACGGCGCGAGCAGGUGCGAAAGCAGGUCAUAGUGAUCCGGUGGUUCUGAAUGGAAGGGCCAUCGCUCAACGGAUAAAAGGUACUCCGGGGAUAACAGGCUGAUACCGCCCAAGAGUUCAUAUCGACGGCGGUGUUUGGCACCUCGAUGUCGGCUCAUCACAUCCUGGGGCUGAAGUAGGUCCCAAGGGUAUGGCUGUUCGCCAUUUAAAGUGGUACGCGAGCUGGGUUUAGAACGUCGUGAGACAGUUCGGUCCCUAUCUGCCGUGGGCGCUGGAGAACUGAGGGGGGCUGCUCCUAGUACGAGAGGACCGGAGUGGACGCAUCACUGGUGUUCGGGUUGUCAUGCCAAUGGCACUGCCCGGUAGCUAAAUGCGGAAGAGAUAAGUGCUGAAAGCAUCUAAGCACGAAACUUGCCCCGAGAUGAGUUCUCCCUGAGACUU
rnacentral:rRNA from 1 species